rnacentral:rRNA from 1 species
AUUGAACGCUGGCGGCAGGCCUAACACAUGCAAGUCGAGCGGAUGAAGGGAGCUUGCUCCUGGAUUCAGCGGCGGACGGGUGAGUAAUGCCUAGGAAUCUGCCUGGUAGUGGGGGAUAACGUCCGGAAACGGGCGCUAAUACCGCAUACGUCCUGAGGGAGAAAGUGGGGGAUCUUCGGACCUCACGCUAUCAGAUGAGCCUAGGUCGGAUUAGCUAGUUGGUGGGGUAAAGGCCUACCAAGGCGACGAUCCGUAACUGGUUUGAGAGGAUGAUCAGUCACACUGAAACUGAGACACGGUCCAGAUACCUACGGGAGGCAGCAGUGGGGAAUAUUGGACAAUGGGCGAAAGCCUGAUCCAGCCAUGCCGCGUGUGUGAAGAAGGUCUUCGGAUUGUAAAGCACUUUAAGUUGGGAGGAAGGGCAGUAAGUUAAUACCUUGCUGUUUUGACGUGACCAACAGAAUAAGCACCGGCUAACUUCGU